ACGUAGGGUGCAAGCGUUGUCCGGAAUUACUGGGUGUAAAGGGAGCGCAGGCGGGAAGACAAGUUGGAAGUGAAAACCAUGGGCUCAACCCAUGAAUUGCUUUCAAAACUGUUUUUCUUGAGUAGUGCAGAGGUAGAUGGAAUUCCCGGUGUAGCGGUGGAAUGCGUAGAUAUCGGGAGGAACACCAGUGGCGAAGGCGGUCUACUGGGCACCAACUGACGCUGAGGCUCGAAAGCAUGGGUAGCAAACAG
rnacentral:rRNA from 2 species